UACGUAGGGUGCAAGCGUUGUCCGGAAUUAUUGGGCGUAAAGAGCUCGUAGGCGGUUUGUCGCGUCGAAUGUGAAAACCCGGGGCUCAACCCCGGGCCUGCAUUCGAUACGGGCAGACUAGAGUUCGGUAGGGGAGUCUGGAAUUCCUGGUGUAGCGGUGAAAUGCGCAGAUAUCAGGAGGAACACCGGUGGCGAAGGCGGUUCUCUGGCCUGUACUGACGCUGAGGAGCGAAAGCGUGGGGAGCGAACAGG
rnacentral:rRNA from 1 species